UUUUUUUUUUUCAAUUAAUAAAGUGCGAUAUUAAGUGCAUUAAACAAGUGAUCAGAUAUAAUUUGAGCGUUUUCCUACCGUUGCACAUAAAAAUUUACAUGAGUUUUAGGACCCUAUUGAAUUAAAAUUUGGUCUAAAAAUAAUGCUAUUAUUCAACUAAUACUUAACCUUUAUUUACAUUCGACAGUUUUUGCAAAAAAAAAAUCUAAUUGUUAAGCAAAAUCAAAUCGUCACGUAAUAUCUGAAUGGUUCUCCAUUUCUGCGUCGCGUUAUCUUUGCGCGUUCCCAUUAAAAGCUCUGACGACGCAGUAGACGUCACCAAUCAACAAAACAAGUUCAGACGUGUAAAUUUCCUCAAAUUUUCUGCUGAAGGGGACCGUUUUUUUAAAUUUUGGCCAUUGUUGGAUCCGGAAUAUUCAAGAUUCACCGAAUUUUGGAAGGAACCACUCUCAGUCAUCGAGUCGUGAAAGUACCCGGCAGAA